CUUAUAUCAGAAUAGUUUGCCACAGAAAGAAUGUUUCUCACGAUUUCUGGAAAAAGGCUUUGAUCAGUUUUAACAAUAUCUCGAGCCUGGUUUAAACGAGUAAGAUGUUCGUCUGUCUCCGAAACUUCCAUACCAGGACUAACAGAGAAUUUAAGAUGAUAAUUAUAUUAAAUACUUAUAUGCUUAUUGAUCAAUUUCUCAAGUAAAUGUUAAAACUUUGCAUCCUCUUUUUACUUUGCUGUCGGUUCAAAUUUUGGUAAGAGAGGGAAUACAUAGCGCAGUGGUUUAAGGAUCGUUAAUAUGUAGUGACUAUAUAUAACGAUGGAAU